rnacentral:rRNA from 1 species
GACGAACGCUGGCGGCGUGCUUAACACAUGCAAGUCGAACGGAAAGGCCCUGCUUUUGUGGGGUGCUCGAGUGGCGAACGCGUGCGUAACACGUGAGUAACCUGCCCUUGACUUUGGUAUAACUUCAGGAAACUGGGGCUAAUCCCGGAUAGGAGCUCCUCCUGCAUUGUGGGGGUUGGAUAUUUUCGGCGGUUGGGGAUGGACUCGCGGCUUAUCAGCUUGUUGGUGGGGUAGUGGCUUACCAAGGCUUUGACGGGUAGCCGGCCUGAGAGGGUGACCGGCCACAUUGGGACUGAGAGACGGCCCAGACUCCUACGGGAGGCAGAAGUGGGGAAUAUUGCACAAUGGGCGAAAGCCUGAUGCAGCAACGCCGCGGGCGGGAUGACGGCCUUCGGGUUGUAAACCGCUUUCGCCUGUGACGAAGCGUGAGUGACGGUAAUGGGUAAAGAAGCACCGGCUAACUACGUG